GGGAAAGCCUCAGGUCAGGCAGCCAUCUUGUUCUGAGCAUGCCCAGUAGCUCAUCACAGGAAAACAAAAUGGCGGAUGUUAUGUGAGCGUGCAGUAGAAUCCCUCAAGACUGCAAAACCAAAUGACUGACAGAUUAUUCCAAAAUCAACAGGGAGAUUAAAAGAGGCAGAAAACAAACAGAGUCCACCAAAAAGCACAGCUCUUUGAGUGACUGGAGUCACCACGGGGCUGACCCAAGACAUUAUGCAGCAUAAGGAGAAUGACAAGAUGAAACCCAUCGCCAGUUCCAGGUACAGACCGAUUGAGCAGGCAAGUAAAAUAUAUUUUGACUCAUUAUGAUAUUGCAUCCUAUGCUACAGUUGAAAGCAGAAGACUAAAUCAGAGAGUGCAGGACAAACCGGUGGCCUACAUGGAAUAGGAUUUUAGCUUUUAAUAGUGUGCCCUACCCAUCUGUUUACCCACUUGUGUCAUUCCCUACCCCCAGUCUUUGGUCAUGGUGUGCAGUUACUUGCCAUUUUUCUGGCUUGUAUUUUUGCUCAUUUGGAUGCGUUCUUUAGUUGACUUCUAUUUAACAUUCUCACUACUUGGCACCCUUUUAACUGCACAUAUCUGGUUGUGAUAUGCAAAUGGAUCACAAGCUAACACUGGUUUAUGCAUAGAGCAGCCCUCAUUCCUGCCCGAGUUUUAGAAGGGACUCGUAAGUGUCACCUAAUCCAACACUGCUAGUUCAGGCAUCCACAGAUCAAGUGUCCUGGACAGUGGACUGUCCAUGUUUUGUUUGAAAACCUCCAGUGGAGGAGAACCCACUAUCUUCUGAGAUAGCUCACUCCAUUGUCAAACAGACAUCGCUGCUAAGUUUUCCAAUUAGCAUUAUUGUGCAUAUUAAUUACUGGGACAGGGACAUGGGAGGGGAAAGGCAGCCUUCAGAGCCCUGUGUUUCAGACACCAAAAUGGCAUUUCAAUUUCUGUGCAUCUUCUUUACAUCCGUUCCUGAAUUAGGGUGAGUUACUUGUUGCACACCCUCAAGAGCAAGGGCCAAUUCAAAAAUUGCAAGUAAGGGAUGCUUGUGAAGGAACAGCCAAAAAUGUGCCGCUCGCACAACCGAGUUUCAUGCAGUCAGCAGGUUCAGAAGCGCAAGAACCCGCUCGACUGGAUUCCAACAGUGCCUCAUUAUUUGCAGUGUGGAACAGUGUGACUUGGUGUCCUGGGUUUAAGUGCUACAAUACUAUAUGUUGAACCCCUUUUCCCUGCUGGUGGAUAUGAAAGAAGGGGUACAGUUCCCACUUUUGAUUCCCUGCUCUGUUCUCACACCCACAUUCUUUUUUCUUGUCUGAUCAGCGGGGAACCUCAACUGUGUAUAUAGGGGAGAACUCAUUGAAUCCUCUGUGUUUCUUUGUGUUUUCCCUAGAGGCAAUCUUCUGUGUCCUGGCUGGGCCAUGCAAAAACAACGCUUUCCCCCAAUGGAGUUAGAAACAGAUGAGAAACAACAUUUUAUGGAAGCUGGGAAGCAUUUUGUGCCCAGGCUUUUUGGGAUGCAGGUAGUCAUGAAGGGAGCAUCCUGAUUACCCAAAAUUGGUAUGAGCAAAGAUAGACCCUGGGGCGGCAUGUAUUCCUCAAGGCUGUUUUGAACCCCCCCCCCCCCCAAAAAAAAAAGAUUUUUUUUUUAUCGUGUCAGAAGCAACUUGAGAACAUAUUGCAAGUCGCUGCUGGUGUGAGAGAAUUGGCUGUCUACAGAUAUGUUGCCCAGGGGACACCCAGAUGUGUUACCAUCCUGCUAGGAGGCUUCUCUCAUGUCCCCGCAAGUUAGAGCUGACAGACAGGAGCUCACCCUGUCUCGCGGAUUCAAACCGGCAAUAUUCAGGUUAGCAAACCAACCUUCAAGUCAGCAGUUCAGCUGGCACAAGGGUUUAACCCAUUGUGCCACCGUGGCUCCCCCAAAAUAGAUGAGCUCUCUUUUCCCUGGUCAAAAAAGGUGGUAAAUUACCUCUUCAGGAGGUUCCAGGAAUGGCAGUUCAUCUUUUAGGUAAUUAUUAGGAAACUUAAUUAGGGGUAGCCUGCAGCAAAAUACAACAAAACCAACACAAGCACAUUACCUUUAUUGGUCCAACCCUAAUGCAGCAAGUAUCUCACACAAGCCUUCAAAGCUCCAUUGGUAAAUCUUACCGUUAGGCAUUUCUCCUCUAAUAUUUAAGCAAAAAUCUGCUUUUCUGUUUUUUUAACUUGGUCCUUGGAGCAGCAAAGGACACAUCUGUUCUGUCUUCUAUAUGCCAACCCUUGACAGAUAUUUAAAAUCAUAGAAUCUAAAGCAGUCAUGGGCAAACAUUUGCCCUCCAGAUGUUUUGGACUUCAACUCCCAUAAUUCAUAACAGCCUCAAGCCCCUUCCUUUUCCCCCUUAGCCACUUAAGCGGAAAAGGAAAAGUAUUGAGGCUUUUAGGAAUUGUGGGAGUUAAAGUCCAAACACUUGGAGGGCUGAAGUCUGCCCAUGCCUAAUCUAAAGCGUUGGAAGGGACCGUGGGCAAGUCAUACUCUCUCAGCCUCAGGAGGACAAAAGCAACCCCUUUACAGACAAAUUUUGCCAAGAAAACCCCAUGAUGGGUUGCUUUGGAAGUAUGUGUGUGUGUGUGUGUGUAUAAACAGAAGAAACCUAGAAUGGGAAAAGAUCCCCCAGGUUCAUCCAGUCCAACCUUCUGUCCCUGGAAAGGCAGACAGACGGAGGUCAGGGAAUAAGGGGGAGGUGCAGCCACGGCAGGGCCAGGGAGACUCACCCAGGUUGACGAAACUCAUGACUGUGUCGGCAGCCCUCCUCGGCGGCGCCCAGGCUUGGGGUCUCCAGGGUCCCUGCUCCUGCCCUCCACCCUCCUCCUCUUCGUCUUCCUCAUCUUCCUCCUGGCUGGCCAUGGUGCGGUAGAGGUCCAGCAUGAAGAGCGGCGCUGCAGCUGAGAUGGGACGGGGCUGACGGCGGCGCUUGGUAGCCGGGGAAGAGGAGGAUGGGGGCAGUGGUGGCAGGAGGGCUCUUCCUCUUGGCCGGGGUCUCCCUGGGAGGCCCAGCAGUGCCAGGAUCUCGCGUUGCAUCUCGCGUUGCACCUGCCGCCCGUUCAGUCGGCGGUGAUGCGCAGGGAGAGGCAGAGGAUGGCGAUUCUGAUGCUGCUGCUGCUGGUGGCGGCAUGAGGACGAGGAGGAUCGAGAAGUAGCAGCCAGCAGGAGCCCUGGCAGGAAGAGAAGGGGGACGAGCAGCAGCACUGCUGGGAGCCGCAUGGUGAGGCCCUUUAAGCGGGAGGGUCUUUGGGCCAAGGGGACGGCCCCUGCCCUGCCUCCUCCAGCUGGAGACAGGUGAGUGAGGAGGACAGCUCCAGCCACUUGCCACUAACUAUUCGACUCCUCCAGUAUGCGGGAGAGGCUGCCUUGGGACAGGAGAGGGAGGCUGGCCCAGCCGCUUGGUUCAUUCACUCACUCCGUAAGUAGGGAGGGAGGAGGCACUCCCGUUGCCCUCAUUGCUGGCCCGCCCCAUUUCAGCAAGUCCCUGGCCUGGGAGAGGAGCCCAGCAGAGCAGAGAAGCCCUCAGCUAGGAAGGGCUGAUGUCACAGGGUAGAAGCCUCUCCUUCCCACUGUUCUUUUGCAGCUACAGGUGAGCCAAGCCUAGACUCCAGAUAUUGGGCUGCAAUUCCCAGCAGUCCUGGCUAAUGUAACCAGUGGCCAGCAAUUUUUGGAGUUGACAAUUCUAUGACAUUCGGAGAGCUGCAAAGUUCCUGUCCCUAUCAUAAGCCUGGAACGGGUUUGCGGCUGCAGUCCAGUGAGAUGGAGAAAGGAGGCUCCUGAGAGGCAAAUCUAUGGAAUGGUCAGAGGCAGAGCCACCCCAUGAAGUACUUUUUUGUGUCAGGAGUGACUUGAGAAACUGCAAGAGCUCCCGGUAGCACAAUGGGUUAAACCCUUGUGCCAGCAGGACUGCUGACUGAAAGGUUAGCAGAUCAAAUCCGGGGAGCAGGGUGAGCUCCCGUCUGUCAGUUCCAGUUUCCCAUGUGGGGGACAUGAAAGAAGCUUCCCAUAGGAUGGUAAAACAUCCGGGCAUCUCCUGGGCAACAUCCCUGCAGAUGGCCAAUUCUCUCAAACCAGAAGCGAAUUGCAGUUUCCUCCCUGCUGAGGGGUUAGGAAUCUGCCCUGGGCCUCCUUAUUGAUGGGGAGGGAAUUUGGCUGUUAGGUGGAUGAUAUCCUAUUGUGCCUCUAAAUUAGAACUGUCCUUGCUUUGCAGAUGGAAAUGUUUUCCUUUGAUGACAGUGAGGAAGUAUUACACAUUCUGAGAAGUUUUUGUAGAAAAACCUGGGUGCCUCUCAAUGCCUGCUUUCAUUGGGGCAGGCUUUUUGACAAAAUAGCAUACCUGAGUCAUGUUGACAUAAAGUUCUGCUCCCUUAGCAAAUGGAGUAUAUUUUCCUCAAUAACAGCUUUCCAGGACUCUGUUAUCUUGUUCUGGGUCUUCAGAUCAUUUCUGACUUAUGAUGACCCUAAGGUGAGCCUAUUAUUGGGGUUUUUUGGGAGGCAGAAUUUGUUCAGAGGGGUUCUAGCACUUAUCUGUACCUUACCUCAUUGAUCUUGCAGAGGAUUCAAUUCUUAACCUAACACAUCCAUUAAAAUUUGGAGGUCUGCGUCCGAGCUGUACAAGGUCCCAACCGAGGGUGGGAAUUCUGUAGGUGAAGGUGCCCUUGAGCAUGUUCAGAGCAUACACUUUCACCGUUGCAGCUAUGACCUGUCAAAACUACUUGUGUUGUUGGACUGGCUGGGGACCCAUUAUACCACCUCCUCUAUUUUCCCAGAUGUCAUGCUGAAUUCUGCGAGAAUAUCAGAGGCAUGCUUGUGUUUGCUUGGGUAGCAGCCUCACAGCGAGCACUGGGAAUAAAGUAGUAGACAAUAGAGAGCAAUUUUGGGUUUUGUUUUUGUUUUGUUUUUUGCUUAAGGCUAGCUCUAUAGCAGUCCAAGAUGGUAGUUAUAGGAGGUUGGAGCCAAGUACCCGCAGAGUCUUCUAUGCCUUGGCCAAGAGGCCAACCAUCCCAUUGUUUACAACUGAUUUUUGAACAACUAAUCUAAGCAUGGUUAGCCCUGGUUAUUACUUGGAUGGGAGACCACCAAUGAGUACCAUGUUGUGCAGACUAUAUUUUAGAGGAAGGAAUGGGCACGCCCUCCUGUUCCUUGCCUAAGAAAACCUUGUGGAAAUCAUGGGGUUGCCAUAGGUGGAUAGGCUCCUUGAAGGCCUGCACAAGCACAAACCACCACAGAGGAGGUCCCUGGAUUAGUCUUCUCUGAGGAAGGAAAGGUCAGUAAGGAUACCCACCCCCAGUACACACACACAUUCCCUCUCAAUCUGAUGGUUUUCUAUGCAGCACAAAGCAAGAGGCAUGUUGCUUAUUAUUACUGCAAGCAAUUUUAAUACAAAAAGAGUAUUUUCUUUUAAAACAAUUCAUUGGUAGAGCUUCAGGUUCUGGCUCAAAUCAACCAACUGAGAAUCACACAGCAAUAUGGUCAGUCAGAGCAAGGGAAAAGAGUACAAGGUAAUAAAUACAGGAAGACCAAGUAGCCCCUGCCCCAUCUCUUCCCUCCCCCUGCUUUAGGGUCACACAAGUUUAGCUUUUUUUUUCAUUCCUCCCUUUCACACACACCCCCAAUAAAGGGAAGAAAAGUGGAGGGCGCAUACAAAAGUGUGUGUUUGUGUGUGAGCGGAGGCUGGCGAAGGGGGGGGGGGGGGCUGCUGGUGAUACACUUUUAAAAACUCCCAAGCGGCUGUGCGUCUUGAAGGCAGCUCUUCUCUGGAGCGGAGGGUCUCCUGUGGCCAGGCUCAGUCCAGAGGCAAGAGAAUAAAUAGGAAACAAUGCAGUCCGCCACUUGUCACAUAGCAGUCCAUGAACUGAAAAGUGAGGGGAGGGGGGCUGUUGUUUUUGCAGCGGCUAGAGCGUAUCCCCGUUGCUGCUACAUUGUCAAACAAAGGGAUGUGUGCCCAGGGUCCCUCAGGCCCAAGGAAUCUUCUGGCAUUUUUGGCAGCUUCAAGUUGAACACCUGCUGCCCCCUCCCCAAAGUACAGGAUCAGUUAUCCUUUUAAAAAGCCUAGCAGCUGAUGAGGCGUUUGCACAUUGCUAUAAGUAUACAGUGUUGUUGUUUUUCUUAGUGAGCUCCUUUAGUGGAACAAAAGUUGUGCAAAUGUUUGUUCAAACUCACUCUGUUGCAAUCUUCAGGUAAAACCAGGAAUUCUUUUUUUUUUUUAGAAAAAAAACUGGAAACAGAAGCCCCAGGUUCCCUUGCUGCAUGUUUUCUCUCUUUUUGAGGUAUCCAAGAUUUACACAAAAAAAGAAAAAGAAAGAGAGAGUUCCUUGAACACUGCUUGGAUAGUCCUGUGUUGCUUUUCUCAAUAACUUGCUGGGACAGCAAGUGAAACGUUGUUUUCUCAUAACAAUGUUUUAGGAAACAAUCCUAAAAGAUAAAGCAGGAUAAAGCUCCUGCGCUGCACAGAAAUCCUAUUUAUAAUUGUUUAGUUUGUACAUUUUCACAUCCUGACCUUUUGCUUGUCUCAGUCCCUCCCCCCGACCCAAACGCAAAGAAGGUCACCAGAAGGCAAAUUUUAUCUACAUAAAUAUUCACAUGAAAAUAGUAACUUACAAAAGAAAUUAACAGAACAAAAUAAGGCAGCUUGACAACUUUUUUUAAACUUUAAACAAUAUAUAUAUAUUUUCCAUCUAGAAUAAAUAUGCACCCAGCAGGGUGUUUCAAUAGCUGGGUCCUUUCUCUUAAUGUCAGUUUUGCCAGGCAGGAAAUAUGAUGGAUGCCAUGUUAUCUCCUAGCACCGGGCAUUUUGGGGCUGACAGCAGUGUUGGCGGUAGGCGUCUUUUUUGUGAUCGUCGGGAUCUUGGAGGGCUUUGCCCCUGUGCCCCGCCGGGAGCCCCCUUGCCCUCCAGUAGCGCUGCUCUCGGAGGUGUCGGAGCAGGCAGACUGGGUCUCCAGGUCGAAAUCCGAGGCGUCGCUGCCCCGGCGGCUGCUGGCCCGGCUACCAGCCCUACUGGUUGGGCGGCUGGUGGUCUUCUUUGGGUCUGGAAAUAUGAAAAGCAGGUGCUUAGCCACUACCACAAAUAGGCAAAUGGAAAAUAGGGAGGGAGGGAGGGGAGGUAGGUUAAAGACAAAGAGGCAAGGAGGUUCUUUGGGGAGGCUGGCCUAUGGGCGAUCAUAGGCACACCAGCACAUAGGCCCCAUGGGGAGGUUGGACAUAGGUGUCUGUGUCCCAUAGGUUGUCCAAUGGCCAACUGGCCCAUUGAGCCUCCCUGCCUAUGUGCCUAUGAACACCCAUAGAUGCGUAAAGCAUGGGCAGCUUUCCAACCUGGAAUCAUAAGAGUUGGAAGAAAACACAUCCAAUGCUAGCCUAUUCUACCAUGCAGUGAAAAUGUAGCGUGUUUCAAAAAGAUGGACCCGAUUGAAAUCAUGCCCACAAGUGAAAUGUUGAGUUGUAAAGUUCCAGAGCAUACCUGCCAGACGUGCUCUCACUGCACAAACAACCGCCAGGCUCAGUCAUUUACAAGACUGAGACCCGGCAACAUAAGGCCCAAUGAGAUGUUCUCUAUUUUUGCAGUAAUUUUUAAGAUUUGUGUUUGGCUCAAAAUAAUUUGUUAAACAUGAUAGCUCAUAAAAUGAUUGUGCAACA